rnacentral:rRNA from 1 species
UACGGCGGGGGCUAGCGUUGUUCGGAAUUACUGGGCGUAAAGCGCACGUAGGCGGAUAUUUAAGUCAGGGGUGAAAUCCCAGAGCUCAACUCUGGAACUGCCUUUGAUACUGGGUAUCUUGAGUAUGGAAGAGGUAAGUGGAAUUGCGAGUGUAGAGGUGAAAUUCGUAGAUAUUCGCAGGAACACCAGUGGCGAAGGCGGCUUACUGGUCCAUUACUGACGCUGAGGUGCGAAAGCGUGGGGAGCAAACAGG